rnacentral:rRNA from 1 species
GACGAACGCUGGCGGCGUGCUUAACACAUGCAAGUCACGGGGGGUCGCAAGACCAACCGGCGAACGGGUGCGUAACACGUGAGCAACCUGCCGAUCUGCGGGGGAUAGCCGGCCCAACGGCCGGGUAAUACCGCAUACGGUCUUGUGGGGGAGUCCCCAGAAGAAGAAACCUCCGGGGGAACCUGUGGGGCAGAUCGAGGGGCUCGCGGCCUAUCAGCUUGUUGGCGGGGUAACGCCCA